UACGUAGGGUGCGAGCGUUAAUCGGAAUUACUGGGCGUAAAGUGUGCGCAGGCGGCAGAGCAAGUCGAGUGUGAAAGCCCCGGGCUUAACUUGGGAAUUGCGCUCGAAACUACUUUGCUGGAGUGUGGCAGAGGAAGGUGGAAUUCCACGUGUAGCGGUGAAAUGCGUAGAGAUGUGGAGGAACACCAAUGGCGAAGGCGACU
rnacentral:rRNA from 1 species